AUGGAACAUUGGCUGUGGAUUAUUCUGGCUGCUCUUUUCUCUGAGUGUAAAGGAGACUCAGUGAAGCAGACAGGAGGAGAAGUUGCUGCUGCAGCAGGAGAAUCACUGACUCUGGGAUGUACCUUUGAGACCAGUGAUACAUAUCCAUAUCUGUUCUGGUACAGACAAGAAGGAAACAGUUUACCAAAGUACAUGCUGAAGCAGCGAUUAUCAGCCAAAGAGAAAGCUCCAGAGUUCAACAGCAGCAGAUUUGAUGCAGACCUCAAUAAAACCAACAAGACAUUCAACCUGACGAUCCAGGAUCUCCGUCUGUCAGACUCUGCUGUGUACUACUGCGCUCUG